GGCGAUGAAUGCAGAGGCUGCGGAUCAAUCGAUCUAUCGAGCUUUCGAUCAUUUGAUCGAUCGAUCAAUCGUAUCGUGUCGAUGAAUUGUGCUCGCGCUGCUGCUGCUGUUCAUGCUGCUGCUGCCUCGACAACAGAUAGAUCUAUCUAUCGAUAAUCGAUCGAUCUAUCGAUGGAUGCACACACACACUCAGACAGACAGCCACAGACAGAGGGAGGGAGGGAGGGAAGUAGGUAGUGCCCCCGCACAUACAGCCAGAUAGACAAAGAGACAGACCCACCUUGUGGCACUCGCGUCACACAUCCCCCCCCCCCCCCGGCAACACCACCACCACCACAUCACAGCACAGCGGCAAUCUCUCUCUCUCUCGUUAUUGUAGUAGUUGUAGUAGUUGGGUCUCUCUCCCUUCCCUUCAUCCACCAACAGUAGUAGUAGUCGUAGUAGUUGUGGAAGUAGUAGUGGUAAUCAGUCAGUCACUGUGCUUACUCUCCCUCCCUCUGUCUCUCUAUUCUGGACUCCGCCACCGGGAAUACCCUUCCUUCCUUUGUCCAUCGCUGAUGGCAGGCACACUAAGUUAUUCCCCUCCCCUCCCCUCCCCUCUCCCUCCCUCGCUGCCCAUUCAAUCCCGCCUGCUCGCCCGCUUUUCCUGCCGUCAGUCGUCCCUUUUCGGCAUUGCCACCCUGGUUCUGUUUCCCUCAGAUCUAGAUGUGAUCCCCCUGCUGGAUGUGAUGUCAUCGUCGUCGUUACAGUAGUUGGUGGGUGAAUUUUGGAGCCGGGUGUGUUUGAUGGGUUGGAGAGGAGAAGAGAAGAGUGAAGAGAAGCAAGGAUUGGUUUGGAGAGUGAGCCGUGAGUUUGUUGCGUUGGGGCGUGACUGUUUUGGUAGGAUUUUGUGGAUUUUGGAAUGUGAUGGGGAGGGGGGCAGAGGAGGUAGUGAAUGCGAGGUUGAGGGGUAAAGAGAAGGUUGCUGAAUCAGACAACGAGGGGGAGGCAGAUGGGGAUCAGUGGUGGUAGGAUAAAACGCGGCAACAGUUGUGGAAUCGUUCAAAGCGUGCAGUUGUUGCAGCUGUAUCAGCAGCAGCAGCGCAGAAAAGGCUUCCCAUGUCAUCCGAUAAUGAGAAAGGGUUGGCCCUGGCCGUUAGCUCUAGUCUCUUCAUUGGUGCUAGCUUCAUCAUCAAGAAAAAGGGCUUGAAGCGAGCCGGGGCGUCGGGAGUGAGGGCAGGAGUGGGGGGUUACUCGUAUCUAUAUGAACCGCUAUGGUGGUCCGGCAUGAUCACAAUGAUUGUGGGAGAAGUGGCCAACUUCACUGCCUACGCGUUUGCUCCGGCUGUCUUGGUCACUCCGCUUGGCGCACUGAGCAUAAUAGUCAGUGCGGUUCUAGCUCACAUGGUUCUCAAGGAGCGAUUGCAUUUGCUGGGGAUAGUAGGUUGUGUUCUAUGCAUAGUUGGCUCCACCACAAUUGUACUACACGCGCCUCAAGAGCGUGCCAUAGAGUCAGUCAAGGACGUCUGGGUCCUCGCCACUGAACCUGCCUUUUUAAUGUAUGCGCUUUUCGUGGUUGCACUGGUGCUGAUACUGAUCUUUCACUAUGUCCCGCAAUUUGGGAAUUCUCAUGUCCUGGUCUACAUCACCAUUUGCUCGUUAAUGGGCUCUUUAUCUGUUAUGAGUGUGAAAGCACUGGGCAUCGCCGUUAAGCUGACUUUGCAAGGGCAGAAUCAAUUGAUCUAUCCUCAGACGUCGGUGUUUGCGAUGGUAGUCCUUAUUUGCAUACUGACACAAAUGAAUUACCUCAAUAAGGCCCUGGACACAUUUAACACGGCAAUUGUUUCUCCUAUAUAUUACGUCAUGUUCACAUCAUUGACCAUCCUGGCGAGUGCUAUCAUGUUCAAGGACUGGGACCAGCAGACCGCACCUCAAAUCAUAACUGAAUUGUGUGGUUUUAUCACCAUUCUGUCUGGCACGUUUUUACUGCAUGCAACAAAGGACAUGGGUGACGCACCAGCUGGAUUAAGUUCGUUCAUCCAACCUGGGAAAUACACUCAUACAUGAACCCGCAUUACGGGAUUAGGUUCACAUUGGAGUCCAGCAUCAAGUAUUUCACAUCGCAUAACGAUGAAUGGUGCAAAUUCUAAACAGCGUCCAGAAGACGAGUCAAGUGAAGAGAUUCCUUUACGACGACAAGAUUCAUUUCGAAUUCCGUAACUAAUAAAUCCUUUGGAGAGUUUCUUUUUCUUUAUUAAAAAAAAAAUACAUAGAAAAUCCAACUUAGUCUCGAUUUUUCACAUGAAGAACUUAGUGAAACUGAAUGAGAUAGCUUGGAAAGUGCCCAUUGCUGUUCCAGUAGAAAAAAGAUAAUUGCUCUGCUUACAUUCAAGUUCAUAACAGGACAACACCAGCAUAUCCUUCUGCUGCCACCGUGGAGCCUUCAUUGAUGAACAUGAUCUCAAAAUGUCCUUUGAUUAAUGUAGAGAAUAUUAAUGUGUAGAGCAACGUGUGCUGGCCCAACUUCCACUAAAUGAAGUAGCUUGGUUUUUUUCAAAAUAAUGGCCUAAAUUUCCAGCAUUUUCGUGCAUUUUUCAUAAAAUAAAUUCGUGGAGUUUUUCAGCGUCAUGAAGGUGGAUUGUUUUUCCAUAUCAAUAAUAAAUAUAAUUCAAGUA